ACUUUAUGACUCCAUAACUUUUAG
rnacentral:snRNA from 1 species